rnacentral:lncRNA from 1 species
GUUGGUUAAUCUAGAGUUGUAAAUCAUACAUGUUUGUCUCUUUUAUUCAUGUGAACGCCAGAACCAAGGAGAAGAUUUAUAAAAGUGAUAGUCAAGUACCUAAAGAUGUUACCUUACUUGAAGAGUGAUGGUACAGUAUCACCUUGUGGAAGCUUUCCUUUCUUAGUGGUUGUGCAUCGUGUUUGUGACACUCUUUGUCUCAUU